rnacentral:rRNA from 1 species
GAUGAACGCUGGCGGCGUGCCUAAUACAUGCAAGUCGAGCGAAUGGAUUAAGAGCUUGCUCUUAUGAAGUUAGCGGCGGACGGGUGAGUAACACGUGGGUAACCCGCCCAUAAGACUGGGAUAACUCCGGGAAACCGGGGCUAAUACCGGAUAACAUUUUGAACCGCAUGGUUCGAAAUUGAAAGGCGGCUUCGGCUGUCACUUAUGGAUGGACCCGCGUCGCAUUAGCUAGUUGGUGAGGUAACGGCUCACCAAGGCAACGAUGCGUAGCCGACCGGAGAGGGUGAUCGGCCACACUGGGACCGAGACACGGCCCAGACUCCUACGGGAGGCAGUAGUAGGGAAUCUUCCGCAAUGGACGAAAGUCUGACGGAGCAACGCCGCGUGAGUGAUGAAGGCUUUCGGGUCGUAAAACUCUGUUGUUAGGGAAGAACAAGUGCUAGUUGAAUAAGCUGGCACCUUGACGGUACCUAACCAGAAAGCCACGGCUAACUACGUGCCAGCCGCCGCAGUAA